GGAUAUGGGUUUUGGUAUCGAUUCCCUUUUCUAAUUCAAGUUCUUGCGGAAGUCUCGUACAGAAUUGGCGUUCUAACUUUAUCUCAGCGGAUCUAUUUUUAUCAGAGUUUAGAAAAAUCCUCUAAUCACAAGUUGGAACCCGAUUUGCUUUCUUCCCUUCAGACUCCAGUUCAUGCAAAAAUACGAACAUAGCUUUCCUGUACCCAAGACCAAGAAACGAGCGUUUGGAGUUACCCUGUUCAGAAAAAUAAGCUGAACAUUUUCUUUUCAUUUUUGUCCAGGGCAUGCUUGAUCGUAUUACUCUUAAUUUAGCACAGUUCUAUGUUUAUUGGAAAAGUACCAGUUAAUCAGUAAGUCGGUUCACUUAGCUGAAAAUGACACUAAAGGUCUCAACAAGUGUUACUUGCUGCCCAAAAUCAGCAGUUUCCAAUUUUCUCCUCAAUUUCUGCAAGGAAAAGAAAGACGAUAGUUAUUUAGACCCGCCCCCUCCUUUUUCCAACUCCUCCCUCUUGAUUCCUGGGUGUUAUCUUAUCAAAUCGAGGUGAUUUUAGCUUCCCCUAAAGCAACGGGCUCAUCGCCCAUGCCCAUCCUCCUCGUCUCGUUAUCGUCUCCGUCAGCAGGUGAGAUAUCAUGCUUCCUCUCUGGUCUCGAUUUCGUGUUGCUAUUCUACUGUGUGUUGUAUGCCAAAACUUAUUGGAAAGCCACGUGGCUUGCAGCAGUCUGCACCCCACCAAGGUGUGGUGGCCGGUGGAGUUGACUUAUUAGCUCGCAUGCACUUGCUUAAUCGAUUCUGCAUGGCAGCGAUGAUUUAUGUUGGUUUUCCAUGACUAGGUGAUUGUCCGAUGGGUUAUGCAUCCAUGCGUGUAAAUAAUCAGGUUUCUGGCAAGGACACAUGACAUGAUUAUUUCUACUCCCGCAUGUACUCUGCUGUAUUUUAUACCAAGGAUGAAAGCUAGAGGUGGAUGCAAAUUUCUUGCUCAUGGGUUGUUAAUGAGGCAACCUUCAUGGUGAAUUUGUUUAAACAAUAGAACAAUAUUAAAUUCAUUCUAUGAAUUAAUAAGUAAAACAUCUUUUCUAUUCGAAUUGAAUCUAUCCAAGGAGCCUCUCGGGCAACAACAUCGUCUGCUUCUUGUUUCAAUUAUAAAGUUUGGGCUAUCUAAACCUGAAAAAUUCAGUGAUGUAUAUAUGCACAGUAUGAGUUUCACUAUUAUACUUGAAAAUGAUGAUGUGUUGUUCUUUCCCCUCUCGCACCUAUAAUUAUGAGUUCACUAAUUACUAUUCUUAUUCCAUUAUGUUCAGUAUCAAGCGGGUUUCUCUUGAUGUGUACAAUAGUCGAACAAAUUUUUUAUGCGUGUUGAUGCUGCAUGGAAGCAUUGGAAGCGAAAAAAACCCUUCACAUACCUAAAUGUAAGUGAAUCUCCCCGUCUUAAUUUAGGUUGACCUUGCAGUCUCGCUUACCCGUUCUGCUUCGCCCAUCGUUCAAUGUAGUUUAUGUUGAAUAGCUAGGUUGGUCCAUGAGAUCAUAUAUUGUACUACCGUUUAUUUAACCCAACUGCUACAUUGAAUAUUGAUAAUCUGAACACAAAAUGUUGCAAUUUUCAUUUUGAACUUUUCUGUGCAAGCGGAUAAAGCUAGGUCUGUACUUCUGGACCAAAACCAGUUUUGCAUGGUCAUUUCUUUAAAGAAAGGUUCAGAGCUUCUCAGAAGGAAAGGAAAAUACCACCUGAACUUUUAGCUUUCCACAUAUGUGUGAUCACUUGCUGAGUUUUCCACAUCAUAAGCUUUUCUUAUGAGUUUGUGGGAUUUUAGUUUUUUCAGGUCUCGCAGUUCUGAGAUUUAAUUCAUGUGCAACCGUCACAAACAGAUCUGUCUUGCAUUCUAAAUAUUGCAGCCUUGAACUUAUUUACAUUUCAGUUAACCUUUGUCCACAAGUGGCAGCCAGUUUUCUGAAUCUGUAAAUUGUAGUUGAAUUCUUAAUACAUCUAUGCCAUCUAUAGAAAAGCAUGACCUCCCGUGCCACUGUGCAACACCACAACGAUGAACAUCACUUGGCAAACAAGUCUCGAAUCAAUUUCGAUUUGCGAUGGUCUGCUCAGAGGGCGUUCUGGCGAUGUGUGGUGCUGUCCUAUUUAGUAGUGAUGUAUCUCUUCUACAAUCUUUUGGUAAUUUUGUAGAUUAGGAUGUUUAAUUCUUUUUCAAUGAUAGUUUAAUAGUAGUCAAGAUAUGGGAUCUGCAUGUCCAUUUUAUUUUAAUGCAUAUAUAUGUUUUUACUCUUAAUUACAUCUCUGGGAGUAUUAUGCCCAUUCAAGAAGCAAAAGCCAUAGCCUCUCCAACAAGGUUUUCAAUAUUAAGGGGGAAAUUUGAAGGUGUAUAAGGUAAAUAUGCAGAGCUCUAGGUAUAUUCCGUAAUAAAUUUUCUUUAUACAUUUCAUUAUAAUUAAAAAGGAAAUACGAAUGAGGUGCCUGUUGUCAGUUGCAAUCACAAAUCUAAGAAUCCCCCUUUAAAUGUAAUUGAUAAAUUGAUCAAAGAGUAAUUGUUUGCCUCCCUUCCCCCACUGCGUAGAGAGUGUGAGAACCACACAGCUAUAGGGCUAACCCUGAAUGAUUGCUUAUCAAUUUCAGCUACUACAAUUAUUGUGUAGAUUCAAGUAGUGUGUUGUAGUUACCAUGUCAUUUAUUUACACAAGAGAAGUUUUUGUGAAGCACCAGCGUAGGAUAGCUUUUGAAAGUUUUGGGAAGCCCUGAAGGACAUGUUUAGAAGUGGCUGCAUAGAUGGUAUGCAUAACAUUGCUUUGCAAACCUUUAGGAUGCUAGAUUGAAUCACUAGGAAGAAGACUAAUGGUGGCAUGAUAUUGUGUUCUGUCAUGCCCUCACUCCUUUUCCCUCUUGUCAACGGUACUACUUUCAGGUGAAAUACGCAGAGAACAAUUUGAAGGAGUACAUCCACGGAGACGAUGAUAUCCUACCAGUCAAGCUUGGAGAUGGACCACCAUCACGACGAUCGCUUCAUGCUUGGAACUGACAAGAGGGCCACCAUCACGACGAACUAAUCAUAGUUUCGCCACCACCCAAACAUCCAGCAAGGUGACAUCUGCACCUUCCUUUUCAAGCACAAGCAAGGGCGCUGCCUCUCUCUCUCAUGUGCACCGUCUCUAGACACACCACCGUCAGCGGCAUCUAUCGUCUAUACAUAUGAUCCAUGUAUGGUCUUUAGUUUCUCUCUUAUGACUUAAUAUGUCUAUGCUCUGAUGACCCAGUGAACUAUGUAUUUAGUUUCUCUCUAAGACUUAAUAUGCCUGUGCUCUGAUUAUCCAGUGAACUAUGUCUCUCUUUUGGAGAUCGCCCACCUUUGGGAGGAUGGUAGAGUUUGAUUUCAACCGAUCGCCAUGCUCUGUGAUACCUUUUAGAGGAUGUUGAGUUUGAUUUCAACAGAUCGCCAUGCUUUGUGAUCAGUCAUCCAUCUUGUAAGACUGUCACCUCCCUGUUAAAAUUGACAUGCGUGCUUUAUGAGCUAA